CGAGAAUCUUCGGCAAUGGGCGCAAGCCUGACCGAGCGACGCCGCGUGCGGGAUGAAGGCCCUUGGGUUGUAAACCGCUGUCAGGGGGGAGCAAGGCGUAAGCUUGAGCGAGCCCCAGAGGAAGCACGGGCUAAGUUCGUGCCAGCAGCCGCGGUAAUACGAACUGUGCGAACGUUAUUCGGAAUCACUGGGCUUACAGGGUGCGUAGGCGGCCUUUCAAGUCAGGUGUGAAAUCCCCCAGCUCAACUGGGGAACUGCGCUUGAAACUGGAGGGCUGGAGGCAACUAGAGGUGCAUGGAACUUCCGGUGGAGCGGUGAAAUGUGUUGAUAUCGGAAGGAACACCAGAGGCGAAAGCGAUGCACUGGGGUUGAUCUGACGCUGAGGCACGAAAGCCAGGGGAGCGAACG
rnacentral:rRNA from 1 species